AUCAUAAUAACUAACGAAUCGCAUGGCUUGUGCCGGCGAUGGUUCAUUCAAAUUUCUGCCCUAUCAACUUUCGAUGGUAGAGUAGUGGUCUACCAUGGUUUCAACGGGUAACGGGGAAUUAGGGUUCUAUUCCGGAGAGGGAGCCUGAGAAACGGCUACCACAUCCAAGGAAGGCAGCAGGCGCGCAAAUUACCCAAUCCCGACACGGGGAGGUAGUGACAAUAAAUACUGAUACAGGGCUCUUUUGGGUCUUGUAAUUGGAAUGAGUACAAUUUAAAUCCCUUAACGAGGAACAAUUGGAGGGCAAGUCUGGUGCCAGCAGCCGCGGUAAUUCCAGCUCCAAUAGCGUAUAUUAAAGUUGUUGCAGUUAAAAAGCUCGUAGUUGAACCUUGGGCCUGGCUGGCCGGUCCGCUCACC
rnacentral:rRNA from 1 species